rnacentral:misc_RNA from 1 species
UGGUUCUGGCAUCGAUGAAGAACGCAGCGAAAUGCGAUAAGUAAUACGAAUUGCAGAGUUCAGCGAGUCAUCGAAUCUUUGAACGCAUAUUGCGCCUGCCAGCACUCUGGCAGGCAUGCCUGUCCGAGCGUCAUCUCACCGCUCAGGCGGCCCUUUCUUGGCCGCCUGGUGUUGGGGCCCACUACGCGCCGCCGUAGGCCCUGAAAUUCGUCGGCGAGCCUGCCGGAGCUCCCCAGCGCAGUGGCUAAUCACCGCUGAGGGCGCCCGGAAGGUCCUCCGCCAGACGGCGCCGCAGCCGCGGCGCCCGAGCAACUGUUUGACCUCGGAUCAGGUAGGACUACCCGCUGA